ACGGUGAAGAGGAGCUUGCUCCUUGGAUCAGUGGCGAACGGGUGAGUAACACGUGAGUAACCUGCCCUUGACUCUGGGAUAAGCACUGGAAACGGUGUCUAAUACCGGAUACGAGCUUCAGCCGCAUGGCUAGGAGUUGGAAAGAAUUUCGGUCAAGGAUGGACUCGCGGCCUAUCAGCUAGUUGGUGAGGUAAUGGCUCACCAAGGCGACGACGGGUAGCCGGCCUGAGAGGGUGACCGGCCACACUGGGACUGAGACACGGCCCAGACUCCUACGGGAGGCAGCAGUGGGGAAUAUUGCACAAUGGGCGCAAGCCUGAUGCAGCAACGCCGCGUGAGGGACGACGGCCUUCGGGUUGUAAACCUCUUUUAGUAGGGAAGAAGCGAAAGUGACGGUACCUGCAGAAAAAGCACCGGCUAACUACGUGCCAGCAGCCGCGGUAAUACGUAGGGUGCAAGCGUUGUCCGGAAUUAUUGGGCGUAAAGAGCUCGUAGGCGGUUUGUCGCGUCUGCUGUGAAAACCCGAGGCUCAACCUCGGGCCUGCAGUGGGUACGGGCAGACUAGAGUGCGGUAGGGGAGAUUGGAAUUCCUGGUGUAGCGGUGGAAUGCGCAGAUAUCAGGAGGAACACCAAUGGCGAAGGCAGAUCUCUGGGCCGUAACUGACGCUGAGGAGCGAAAGCAUGGGGAGCGAACAGGAUUAGAUACCCUGGUAGUCCAUGCCGUAAACGUUGGGAACUAGAUGUGGGGACCAUUCCACGGUCUCCGUGUCGCAGCUAACGCAUUAAGUUCCCCGCCUGGGGAGUACGGCCGCAAGGCUAAAACUCAAAGGAAUUGACGGGGGCCCGCACAAGCGGCGGAGCAUGCGGAUUAAUUCGAUGCAACGCGAAGAACCUUACCAAGGCUUGACAUAUAGAGGAAACGGCUGGAAACAGUCGCCCCGCAAGGUCUCUAUACAGGUGGUGCAUGGUUGUCGUCAGCUCGUGUCGUGAGAUGUUGGGUUAAGUCCCGCAACGAGCGCAACCCUCGUCCUAUGUUGCCAGCACGUAAUGGUGGGAACUCAUGGGAUACUGCCGGGGUCAACUCGGAGGAAGGUGGGGAUGACGUCAAUCAUCAUGCCCCUUAUGUCUUGGGCUUCAGCAUGCUACAUGGCCGGUACAAGGGCUGCAWNCCG
rnacentral:rRNA from 1 species